GGGCUCGUAGCUCAGAUUGGUUAGAGCCCCCGGCUCAUAACCGGGUGGUCGAUGGUUCGAGUCCAUCCGAGCCCACCA
rnacentral:tRNA from 2 species